rnacentral:rRNA from 1 species
GGUGAACGCUGGCGGCGUGCUUGACACAUGCAAGUCGAACGGUAUGUGGCAACACAUAGAGUGGCGAACGGGUGAGUAACACGUGGGAACGUACCCUCUGCAGGGGGAUAACUGACCGAAAGGACAGCUAAUACCGCAUAAGACCGAGAGGAGAAAGGUGCAACAGCAUCGGCAGAGGAGCGGCCCGCGGACCAUCAGCUAGUUGGUGGGGUAAGAGCCUACCAAGGCAACGACGGAUAGCCGGCGUGAGAGCGUGGCCGGCCACAAGGACACUGAGAUACGGGUCCUACUCCUACGGGAGGCAGCAGUGCGGAAUUUUAGAUAAUGGAGGCAACUCUGAUCUAGCGACGCCGCGUGCAGGAAGAAGGUCUUCGGAUUGUAAACUGCUGUGGUAAGGGAAAAAUGCCAUGUAGAGUGGAAAGCUACAUGGAGGGAUGGUACUUUACUAGAAAGCCCCGGCUAACUACGUGCCAGCAGCCGCGGUAAUACGUAGGGGGCGAGCGUUACCCGGAAUCACUGGGCGUAAAGGGAGCGUAGGUGGCCUGACAUGUCGACUGUGAAAACCCGGAGCUCAACUCCGGACUUGCAGUUGAAACUGCCAGGCUUGAGGACGGUAGAGGAAGACGGAACUGCCAGUGUAGGGGUAAAAUCCUUAGAUAUUGGCAGGAACGCCGGUGACGAAGGUGGUUUUCUGGGCCAGUUCUGACACUGAUGCUCGAAAGCCAGGGGAGCGAACG